GACGAACGCUGGCGGCGUGCUUUACACAUGCAAGUCGAACGGUAACAGGCCGCAAGGUGCUGACGAGUGGCGAACGGGUGAGUAAUGCAUCGGAACGUGCCCAGUCGUGGGGGAUAACGCAGCGAAAGCUGUGCUAAUACCGCAUACGAUCUAUGGAUGAAAGCGGGGGCCCGUAAGGCCUCGCGCGAUUGGAGCGGCCGAUGUCAGAUUAGGUAGUUGGUGGGGUAAAGGCCUACCAAGCCGACGAUCUGUAGCUGGUCUGAGAGGACGACCAGCCACACUGGGACUGAGACACGGCCCAGACUCCUACGGGAGGCAGCAGUGGGGAAUUUUGGACAAUGGGCGCAAGCCUGAUCCAGCAAUGCCGCGUGCAGGAAGAAGGCCUUCGGGUUGUAAACUGCUUUUGUACGGAACGAAACGGUCUGGGUUAAUACCCUGGGCUAAUGACGGUACCGUAAGAAUAAGCACCGGCUAACUACGUGCCAGCAGCCGCCGUAAGAC
rnacentral:rRNA from 1 species